GCAGAACGCGAAGAACCUUACCAAGGCUUGACAUGGAUUUCUAAGCACGUGAAAGCGUGUGACCCUUCGGGGAACUUCCACAGGUGCUGCAUGGCCGUCGUCAGCUCGUGUCGUGAGAUGUUGGGUUAAGUCCAGCAACGAGCGCAACCCUUAUCGUAUGUUGCCAGCAUUUAGUUGGGCACUCAUGCGAGACUGCCGGUGUUAAGCCGGAGGAAGGUGGGGAUGACGUCAAGUCAUCAUGGCCCUUACGUGUAGGGCUACAAACGUACUACAAUGGUGGUGACAAUGGGCAGCGAGGUCGCGAGGCCAAGCUAAUCCCAAAAAGCCAUCUCAGUUCAGAUUGUUCUCUGCAACUCGAGAGCAUGAAGUCGGAAUCGCUAGUAAUCGCAAAUCAGCAUGUUGCGGUGAAUACGUUCCCGGGUCUUGUACACACCG
rnacentral:rRNA from 1 species